rnacentral:rRNA from 1 species
UACGAAGGGGGCUAGCGUUGUUCGGAAUCACUGGGCGUAAAGCGCACGUAGGCGGACUUCUAAGUCAGGGGUGAAAUCCCAGGGCUCAACCCUGGAACUGCCCUUGAUACUGGAAGUCUCGAGUCCGGGAGAGGUGAGUGGAACUCCGAGUGUAGAGGUGAAAUUCGUAGAUAUUCGGAAGAACACCAGUGGCGAAGGCGGCUCACUGGCUCAUACUGGACGCUGAGGUGCGAAAGCGUGGGGAGCAAACAGG